rnacentral:rRNA from 1 species
CCUACGGGUGGCAGCAGUGAGGAAUAUUGGUCAAUGGUCGGGAGACUGAACCAGCCAAGCCGCGUGAGGGAGGAAGGUACAGAGUAUCGUAAACCUCUUUUGUCAGGGAACAAAGGCGGGGACGUGUCCCCGGAUGAGUGUACCUGAAGAAAAAGCAUCGGCUAACUCCGUGCCAGCAGCCGCGGUAAUACGGAGGAUGCGAGCGUUAUCCGGAUUUAUUGGGUUUAAAGGGUGCGCAGGCGGUCUGUUAAGUCAGCGGUCAAAGCCCGGGGCUCAACCCCGGCCCGCCGUUGAAACUGGCAGUCUCGAGUUGGAGAGAAGUAUGCGGAAUGCGCGGUGUAGCGGUGAAAUGCAUAGAUAUCGCGCAGAACACCGAUUGCGAAGGCAUCUCACGAAUCCGCGAUUGACGCUGAUGCACGAAAGCGUGGGUAUCAAACAGGAUUAGAUACCCGUGUAGUC